UGCUGGUGGUGGUCCUGGGUUUACAGUUUGAGAAUCUUUGUUCAGGGCAAGGAUCGGGGUGGAGAGGGUUGCAGCCUGCAGCCUGGCCAUCCUGCAGGCUGGGAAGCACAGCCCCUGGCAAAAACCAGACGCGAGCACUUCAGAGAAGGAAGGAUGAGACAGGAAUUGAAGCUGAACAGUUUCCAGAUGUGGCUGAAGGCAAACAGUAAUUGCCCGGUUUAAUGGAAGAUGGUUAAGCCUGUGUUGGACAUCUGCUGUCUUUGCCGCCCUAGUCUGCAUUUCCCAGUAUUCUGCCAGCAGAAACGUAUUCGGUGCUCACACAUCAAUCCCUGGCUUCCCAGCGUCCCUCAGCAAACAUCCCCUUCUCCUGAUGCAAAAUAACCUCUCUCCUAUUGUUAUUAUCCCACAUGGUUCUAUUACUCAAUGCAGAGUGGCAUUGAGCAAAUUCACUCCAAGGCAACCUGUCAAAAUUGUAUGUUUGUAGCGGAUGCUUAGGAAAUCAAGAGAUUUCAUAGAAAACUCCAAUUCUCAGUUCUCCUAAACAUUGGACAACCUGCCAAAGUUCCUCCUGGCAUCACUGCCUGGAGCUGACACUCAUCUGGCCCUUUGGAUAAGAAGUGGAUUCUCCCCACAGUCCCCAGCAGGCCCCUUCAACUCAUGUAUAUGUUCCUGUGUCCAUGUAUAUGGAAUGUGUCCCAGACUUGGUGCAGGUGAAUUUCAGAAAACUAUCCUUCCAAGAUUGUUGCCAUUGCUGUGAAGUGUUUCCACCUGCUCUGGGGCCAUGGAAGAGAAAACUUCCAAGUAUCUUUAUGUUAACUGAUUUUUCCAGUGGACCACAAUUCACAGAAAAACCUGCUUAUGGGCCAAGCCUGGAGAACAAUCAAUGGGACAAGGAGGAGAAAACUUACCUCUAUUUAAUCAGCUCCACGUUUCUGACAAAUGUGAAGAGCAACUGUGAAUACAGCUCGGCUGCUUAAUUCCAGACUGUUUUAUGUUGGAGCAUCACUCUUCUCUCCAAAACUUUGUCAAGAUCGUUUUACCAAGAGCACUUGCUGGAAAGCCUUUUUGGAGAAAAAGGCAAAUAACGUAUUCUGUGAGGCAGUAAAGCAGCCACUUAGAGACACAGUACUUUGAUUAUACUCUUUGAAAGACAGAGAGAAUUAGAUUUUAACAACUAUUCCAAAUCUCUCACCUAAGGGGUAGAAUUAUAAAAGAGCUCCGCAUCACCCUUGUUAUUACUACAUAUUUGGACAAGGGAAAAAUUCAAAAUAAAGUUAUUUAUAAAAAAUGCUCAUUUUUUCAUAAGGCUGUGCAAUAUGUGAUUUGUUAGCACAAAUUGGAGUGUGGAGGGCAUGUGUGUUGAAUUUGGCCUGAGGGAUCCUCCUAAUGGUUUAGGCAACAGAUGAGUGUCCCUACAUUCACUAGUUUCCUUAAAUAAACCACGGAAGCUUUAGAGGAAAGGUUUCUUUUAUUUUUUCUUUCCAAUUUGUAUUUUAGGGUCAGGGGUUCUUGU
rnacentral:lncRNA from 10 species